rnacentral:rRNA from 1 species
CACGUAGGGGCCUAGCGUUGUCCGGAUUUAUUGGGCGUAAAGAGCUCGUAGGCGGUUCAGUCAGUCGGGUGUGAAAACUCUGGGCUCAACUCAGAGACGCCACCCGAUACUGCUGUGACUUGAGUCCGGUAGGGGAGCAGGGAAUUCCAGGUGUAGCGGUGAAAUGCGCAGAUAUCUGGAGGAACACCGGUGGCGAAGGCGCUGCUCUGGGCCGGUACUGACGCUGAGGAGCGAAAGCGUGGGUAGCAAACAGG